UUUCUUUACGCCGACCUCAGAGCAG
rnacentral:rRNA from 1 species